rnacentral:misc_RNA from 1 species
GUGCCCCUCCUCCACCGUCAGGUUAGUUGACUGUAGUAAGUUUCAUCGGAAAAAAAUGAGAAGGGUUCUUUUUCUUAUUUCAUUUUGAAGGUAGGUGUCCACUGGGCUUGGGUGGAUGGAAAUCAGUUGUCUAAUAGGGUCAGUUUAGACCACGUACUUCUUAGAAAUUUAUGUUCUCAGUUUGUACUACCCUUAGCAAGUGAAAUUCCUUGGUCUCAAGAAGCUAUCGAGAGUGACGAGCCAUUACUGCUGCGUCUAAUAUACUAAUGGCUUAAUAAUUCAAAUAAUAUACAUUUAUAUAUGUAUAUGUAUUAAAAAAUACGCUGUAUCUUGCAAUUAUAGAUCAAUGGGUGGUGAUUUUAUGAUUGCACCAUCUUUUAACACUAUUGUGGACUGAUUUUGUAAUCAAACAACCUAAUGCACAUCAUGGUUUCUUUCUGUGAUGUCAUGCAUCCACUGAAGAAUAUGUGCUUAAGUAUGUUUUUAUUUGCUAAAGCCUUGUGUUGAUUUUAUAUCUGAUGAAUCAGGUCAUGGGGGUUUCCGAGAU